AAGAAGAUCUAGAAGAGAGAAAGGGAUAUGACCAGAGCUUCCCACCACUGGCCUGUGGCAGGCUUCACCACCCACCAGCCAAGGAAUCACCACCUUUGUUGCCACUGCUUCACCACAGGAGCUGCUGCCUUUGAAGAGGACCAUUCUUUUGCCAAAACCAUGGGCUCCUGUGGCUGGAUCUCUUUGUUUAUAUUAAUCAAUGGACAAUACAAGGAAGAGAAACUCCCUCUUGUGUGGGGAGUAGCUUGGCUGCCCAGC